GCGUGACAUGCAGGCUGAACAGAGUAUA
rnacentral:piRNA from 1 species